rnacentral:pre_miRNA from 1 species
CCAUGAAUGAGCUCCGUCUCGCCGCCUGAACCUUUCGUCUCAACCUCUAUGCCGGGCAGGUGAGCAAAGUUUCAGGUGUGCGAGCGGACUCGUAUACUCCGUUGCC